rnacentral:lncRNA from 1 species
AAAUCAGUCGACUAGCUUUUGCAGAGACUUUGAACAGAACUCUCAUUCACGUGUUUCCUCUAAUGAAGUAUUCUGUUCCUAGUCGUGGGUGUGCUGGGUGGAGCGUGUGAAACACGACGUGAUCAAAGGAUGAAGACAGUAUUUUGACUAAAUAUAAGUGGAGAUUAAUUUACACUACAUUGUACACAGAAUAAUUCAACUGAAUAAAAAAGUGUCACGGGUAAAGAUUUUUAAAGAUUAAUUUCUGUCAAAUGCAGUAGAUGAAGAAAGGUCGGUAUUAAGUGUCUUUUCUUAAGCUUCUCCAUUUUCCUAUACUUGCCAUCCCUCCCGGAAUUGGGCAUUUAAUUCACUUUUGAACGGCCAUUCCCAUAGUUGCUAACUUAGUAAGUGCUUUUCUUAUAGAACCCCUUCUUAAUGAGCAAUAUGACUUCUACUUGUACUAUAAAUCUUUCUGAUAAUGCAUUAGUUUUUUUGUAGGUUAGUAAAAGUGCAUUCCUGUUUUCAUGUUACUUUAUUCAAAGCUAAUAAGUGCUUUCCUUAGUUUUCUAGUAACUAGGUGUAAAAAUCAUGUGUUGCAGCUUUACAGUUUUUAAAAUAUUUUAGAUAUUCUUCAACUAUGAACCUUCUUAACAUCACUGUCUUGCCAGAUUACCAACACUGUCACGUGACUAAUACUGACCCUGUUUACCACACACACACACACACACACACACGGACACACGCUUCCUGUUGUGGCUUUGCCUAAUGAUGUUCCUUUGGGUCUGUGAGGUUCUGUAAACUGUGCUAGUGCUAAGAAUGUUCUGUACAACUUAAACUCACUGGCAAGAACACAAUGUUGGACCUUUCAACCACUAGAACAAAAUUUUUUAAAUUGACAGUUGCAGAAUUGUGCAGUGUUUUUACAUUGAUCUUUUGCUAAUGCAAUUAGCAGUAUGUUUUGCAUGUAUGACUUAAUAAAUUCUUGA